rnacentral:rRNA from 1 species
GACGAACGCUGGCGGCGUGCUUAACACAUGCAAGUCGAACGGAAAGGCCCUGCUUUUGUGGGGUGCUCGAGUGACGAACGGGUGAGUAACACGUGAGUACCCUGUCCUUGACUUUGGGAUAACUUCAGGAAACUGAGGCUAAUACCGGAUAGGAGCUACUGCUGCAUGGUGGGGGUUGGAAAGUUUCGGUUGUUGGGGGUGGACUCGCGGCUUAUCAGCUUGUUGGUUGGGUAGUGGCUUAGCAAGGCUUUGACGGGUAGCCGGCCUGAUAGGGUGAGCGGCCACAUUGGGCCUGAGAUACGGCACAGACUCCUACGCGACGCAGCAGUGGGGUAUAUUGCACUAUGGGCGGAGCCCUGGUGCAGCAACGCCGCGUGCGGUAUGUCGUCCUUCGGUUUGUAUUCCGAUUUCGCCUUUGACGAAGCGUUAGUGACGGUACUGGGUAAAGAAGCACCGGCUAACUACGUG